rnacentral:rRNA from 1 species
CAGUAGCCGCGGGAAUACGAAGGGGGCUAGCGUUGCUCGGAAUGACUGGGCGUAAAGGGCGCGUAGGCGGUUGGUACAGUCAGAUGUGAAAUUCCUGGGCUUAACCUGGGGGCUGCAUUUGAUACGUGCUGGCUUGAGUGGGGAAGAGGGUCGUGGAAUUCCCAGUGUAGAGGUGAAAUUCGUAGAUAUUGGGAAGAACACCGGUGGCGAAGGCGGCGACCUAGUCCUUUGCUGACGCUGAGGCGCGAAAGCGUGGGGAGCAAACAGGAUUAGAUACCCCCGUAGUCCCUGUCUCUUAUAC